GUGCCAUUACUGAUGCUGUGCUUAAUUUCAAAUCAUAGUCUGGUCAUCUGAUUCUUUUAUGCCAAUAUUUAACUAUAUUCAAAGAACCUGUAACAUUGUUUCCCAGAGUAUAAUCUGUAAACGACCUGCCUCAAAAACCCAAGAUGCUUGCUGAGAAUAUAGACUCUGACAGCAUCCCAGCUUCAGUGCAUCAGAAACUGUAGUGGUGGGAUCCGAUCCGGGAAUACAUAGUUUCUUUAUAAGCUUCCUGAUGUUUCUUAAGCAUGCUGAUGUGUGAUUGUUCUCAAACCUUUCUAAAGUGCAUGAGAAUCACUUUGAAACAUUUAAAAUGCACAUCCUCAGGGACUGGGAUUCAGUAUUUCUGAGUUAAGCCCAGCAAUCCACAUUUUUAGAAAGAACUCUGGUAGUUCUGAAAUAGGAGCACACUUUUAGCCACACUGCAUAGAGCUUCUAGGUGCUCGACGAUGCAAGCAGCUCUACUUCCCAACUCUUCACUACUGCUAUGUCUCAGUUUUCUUUCAACUUACAAGUCCUGGCCUUUCCCAUUCUCUCUCUGGUUUGUUUCUCAGGGCUGCUUCCCCUCAUCCUUUCCAUUCCAGGUCAGCCUUCUCUAUUGAUUCAAAUGCACAAGGAAGCUUCAUUAAGAGUAAAGAUAUUUCAGUGAAUAUGCAGCUACAGUAGAGAUAAAUCACAAAUAGAAUUCUCAUUGUUCAGGAUGUCCUUCUCAAAUGGAUCAUGUUGGACUACUUCCUAUUGACCUGAAAAUCUUGCCACUAGACCCUAAGACUUGGAUUAUAGUUACAGGGCUCAGUCCCCAUAGUCUGCCUUUCAAGUUUAGGUAUAGCUAAUACGUUAAUUUGUACUACAGGCAAUUGUGGGAUCCAAGCUCUUCUAUUACCAUUCUUCGAACUCUGUCUAGUCUCCCAGUCCACCACAGUAAUUUAUGUCCAAUUUCCCAUUUUUAAACAGUUUUAAACCCUUAUUUUACAGUUUUAUUUCAAAAAUACAGGAAAUUUAACACUAUAACAGAAACUUGGGGGAUAAAGAAAAUUAGGGAAAAAUUACAAAAGAACCCUAAGUAAUGCAUUUAUUUUCAUUUUACAGACAAGGAACCUAAAGAGCAAUGAAUAUCAUCCCACAAGUACUUUUCCAUGCAUCUAUAUGUACCUUAAUUCAUAUGCAUAGAUUUCAACCAUGGUUUUGUAUGUGAUGUUUUCCCUAAUAGUCAUCAAUCCAUCUCUCCACUUAUUGAGUCAUCUGACAAAUAUUUAUUUUUGCACUACAAUGCAACAACUUUGGUUUAUAGACUUUUAAAAUGUUUGCUGAUAUGCUAAGCAAAAUAUGAUACAACAUUGUUUAAUUCAUUUUUUCUUUCUAGUAAAGCUGAACUUGUUUUAAAAAUAUUUACUAAUCAUAUUCUAUCACUUUUGAGGUAUCCCUUAAAUAUUUUGCCUAUUUGCCAUUUGUGUUUUGAGUCCUUUGUGACUUUUUAUUUAUAUGAAAACAUUACGUAUUACAAACAUCUAUCCUUCAUUGGUCAUAAGUGCUGUAAUACUAAUUAAUUAACUAAGCUACUACAAUUUGAGGUAAGGUUCAUAAUUGUCUUCCUCACAGGUUCUCUUUAGGCCUCUGUAAUACCUGAGACACUGUCUUCUCUACAGCCCGGUUGUUAUAUUGCCCUUUUAUUUGUUAUUUUUUAAGUUUUCAUUUAAAAGAUUCUCUUUUUAAUCUAUUCCAAAGUGUUGGAAGCUGACCUAUACAAGUUCCUUCCACCCACUCUUCCAGUACAGUUUUCUGAGGACACAUAGGACAUAUUUUUUUAAACAGAAAAACAAAAAGUGGACCUUCUACUGAAACCAGGUAGGACCAGAGUCAGCUCCACAGGCCCCUGUGGCAGUUUUGCCAAAGCAGGCCUUAUGGAGUGAGUGUGUGAAGUCAGGGGAAUUGAACCCUCCCUCCUGUGAGGAAAGGGCUGAGUCAACUCAUGUUCUCUUUAGUGAAAUAAUUCAAAUUCAGUUGGGAAAGCCUCCAUUAUGACAUUCCCCGGCACCCUUCUUAUACUUUAGGUAUUGAAGGCAGCUCCCUCCUUUAUGGUUGGUUUUAGUAGACAAAGAAACAAAGGAAUACAGUAUAUACAUAAUAUAUAUGUAUACAUACACACACAUAUUUAGGGGGAGGGAAAGGAGAGGAGGGUCAUAUAAACCUAAAACAGUUAUCACAUAUCUCAUUACCGCCAAAUGAGCCUGUAUCAGGUUCACGACUAUGCCAAAGGUCAUGAUGAGGUCUGGAGGGAGUGGGUGGGCAAGCAGAAAGAACACUCGGGGGGCCGUAGGCAGGUGAAAGAUGAUUUUAUUCAGCAGCACUUCUCAUCAACAGCUUUCUCACGCUAGCUCUCUACACUGUUCGCCUGUGUCUCGGCUGUCUGCUCCCGCUCUGUGGCCCCUGCUGCCCCGACACCUGCAGCUGUAUGGCCUGCUCUCCCUUGGCCUCAGGGUCAACAGCUUAACUCUUUCUCUGGGCACAAGCAAUCCAAGCUGUAUCCUGGCUCCCCAGGGAGCAUCUGCAAAUAUGGACAGCCCUGACUCUCUCUUUCUGUGGACGCCAGCACGCCCGCCAUGUCAAGCCAUGUUGAGCUGAGCCGAGCCCCAAGAGCCAUGUCUCUUGUGCACAGUGUCGACAGGGCAGUUCUACCUUUUACAGCAAUAGUGGCUCAGAGCCAAGUAUGAACUUACACAAACAAGUUAUAUAACAAGUGGAGGUGCACACUCACGCACCAAACUCGCUUGGAUAUCCACCUUGGCCUAUUCCUUGACCAAAGCACAUCCAUGUACCUUACACUCCACCCCCUAGGCUGAGGGAAACAUAGGCCCUGGACACACAGGUUUUAUACACAGGUUUGGCACACAGGCCUGGCAUAUAAGCUUUGGGCACACAGGCCUGAUACAUACACAUAGGCUUCUGGGCACAUAGGCCUGACACAUAAGCCUUAUACAUAGGCUCUGGGCACACAAGCCCAUCACAUACAUAAGCUUCAAUAAACUGCUCGGCUGUUGGCACAGAUUACCAUAGGUGUUGCAACAUUGGUGAUUACUGUUCACAUUGCCCUGAGUGCAGCUCAUUAGCUACUUUGCCUACACCUGGUUUUAACCCAUAUGGUGUUAGUACUAGGCUGGACUGUGGCAGCAAUCCAGGCAGCAGUAGCUCCCUGCCUACACAUAUCUGUGUACCAAGCCCUAUUAGGAAUGGGAGAAUGCCCUUCCUAAUGAUGAAGGCUUAGGGUUUAGGGGUGCCUCAGGCCCCAUGGCCUUACUUGGCAUUAGGACUACAGGUCCCAAGACUUCCUGUAACUCUACUGCUAAGGGACUUGUAAUCAGUGUACUUUACUGCUGUAAGUAGGCUCCCCACUUUGCUAAAGUGGAUGUCUGUGCUGUCCCAGUCGAUGGGGUCAUUACCCACGAGUGUACCCACCCCACUGUUGGGAAAGUUGUCUGCCUGAUGAUUGUAGCCAUUCCUGCCAUGCUCUUAUGAGCCUGAAGGGCAGUAUAUACAGUUACUAACUGCUUUCCCUGUCCAGGGGGUGGUUAUCCAUGAACACACCCAUCCUAUUAUUACUAACUGCUUCUGUAUCAAGGAAUACUGGAGCUCAGCUCCCUUGCAUAAUUGGGACCAAAAGCCUACUGGCAUACUCAGGCACUCAUGCACUGCCAUAGGCCCUAACUGAAACUAUCUGUGGUCACAUGCACAUCUAGCUUAAAUGGGCACCUCUGGUCAACUACCCAUAGGGCUUGUGCUUGCUGAAUAGCCUACUUGGCUACCAGGAAGGCUGUCUCAGCUGCAUCAUCCCAAUCCCAGGCAAGAAGGGCAUUGCUGCUUCUAAACCUGCAAGAGAAUCAGAAGUGAAUAUAACAUUAUUAACAAGACCAUGACAUAUGGUGGGGCUAUGCAUAUAAGCCCUGAAGCAACACUGUGAAAGUCCGUCGUCACCCUCCCAUGAAGGCAAACUGUUCCUGGCUCUCUGGAGCAAUGUCAAUGGAGAAGAAUGCAUUAGCCAAGUCCCAUCACAAAGUGGUACUGUCCCAGUUCCAUUGUCAAACAGCCAUCAAGUCUAUGAUGGAAGGUCCAGCUGCAUGCAGAGGGGAUGUUGCUUUAUUCAGUUCCUGAUAAUCCACUGUCAUCUGCCAAGUUCCAUCAGGCUUUUUGACUGGUUAUACUAGAGAAUCAUAGGGGUUAUGGGUGCACCUCCUCUAACUUCUUAUUAGUCUCAGUUAUCUCUGUGUGCUCCCCCGCCGCCCCCCAGUAAACGGUAUUGAUGAGUGGAAGUAAGUUGUUGGGGUUGUGGCAGAACUUGGGGCUGGUGAUGUGUAUGGAGUACUGGCUUUACUACACGAACCAGGAUUCCAAAUUCUCUGGCUGUGGUGUGUAAGUCCAGAUCAUGCAAAAUGUCCACCCCCAGAAUAUAUUCAUGUAUAGGAGAAACAUACAGAGUGUACAGGUGGAUAGCAGAGUAGCCAAUGCCAAUAUAGAUUCACCAUCACAGAUUGGCCCCCAUAACUGUCAAUGAAUGCAGCUUUUCCCAGAAACUUAUCCAGGUUCCCAUAAACUAGACUGCAGUCUGCACCAGUGUCUACCAGUGCUAGGGCCCGCUGUACAUUAGUAGGGGACCAGAGGAUUGCCAGCUCCUCAUAUAGCCUCCAGUUGUCCAGUUCCCCUGAGUUGGGCAACUCAGCCAGUUCCCUAAUCAAACAGGAAAGGCCUAAUGUCUUCUCCCAUCUGCAAAUAGUCCUUGAGCUGAAAAGUUUCCAGGUGGGGCUGGGUUGAACAACAUUGUCUUGCCCCUCCUUGGGCAUUCUUCAGAAUUGCAGCUCUGGGGACGAUUGCCUCCACAGAGCCAACAGCAUUCCAUUGGGUUGCCUGUCAAUUUUCUCUCUAGUAACCCCAGCUGCAAGUAAAUCAAUCCACAUCCGCAUGUGGGUCACCCGCCUGGGCCCCUUUUAAUCUCGUGGAUGGUUACUUGUGAAGGGUGCACCUUCCAUUUCUUUACGGCGUGGACUCCCAGGUCCCGCCAAUGGCCUUCUGCCUCCCCAAGGGCUGCCAUAGCAAUAGUCACUUUGUGUAUGCGGUGUCCUACAUACGGGGUGAGAACAGCAGCUAGAGGGCCAAAGCAUCCGGGGGUGCUGAACUCAGCACAAGAUCCCUCAUAGGGGAGGUAAAGCGUUCAUCAUCUGGCCCCAGAUAUUCUGAUCAAACAGCCUGCUGCAUAUUGCAUAUCCGUCUCCCGGAGCACCUGCACCAAAUCAGUAUAUGAUUGCCAUUUACUCACAGUUUCUGGGGUCUCUCUGGCAUCAUUCCAAACAGUCCGUAUGGCUGCCGUCAGCCACUUGAUUUACAUGUAGUCACUUUGCCCUUGUGUUAACCGUUGGCACAGCUGCAGCCGCCGAUGAAGGGAAGGGUGAGUUGUGAUAGAAGCCAGAUUCUCCAUCUCAGAGGCGGAGCAAGAAAUGCUAUCAGCUCCUUCAGACGCUGCCAGACUGUUUACCUACUUCCCUCAAAUCAGUGGGGGUAUAAGCACUAUAAGAGGUAUGUGCCACCACUGUGAGGGGUCCUGGGAUCUCGCCUGCGGUCCCAUUGGCUGCUCAUGUUCUACCUUCUGAUGGAUCACAGGGUGAUCCAGCAGUGGAGGAACCUCCUCCUCAGCAUCAGACUGAAUCGGAGUGUCCCGCCAGGAGGAUGGGCUCAAGGCCGGGCUGACAGCUGUUGCUAAAUCCUGUUCCUGGCUAUUUAUCUGGGCCUCUAAGUGCCCUGCUUGCACCUGGAGGUCCCCCACCCCCAGGUCCUGCUCCAAGCUGUGCACUUGGGCCCCCAGGUGCUCAGCUUGUCCUGGGAGGUCCCUUACCUGUGGAACUGAGCAUGUACUUCCUGCAGUGCUGUCAGAAACGCCCAUCCGACGCUGCCAGCAAAGGUGCAUUCCUUCUUGGUGCUGUGUGCUCGCACACUUGCAGGAGACCUCUCCACUGCCUCCCGCGUUUCCACUGGGGCUCAUCCAAGCAGCACCGCUGCCCCUGGGUACAGCCCGUGCUGCAGCCACAUAGCUGACCCAGGAGCCCUCAGGGGCCAAAGACCUACUCACUUCAUCCUGCCAACGUCGCAAUUGUCAGGUUCUCAUUCUGUCACCCAGACUGGAGUGCAGUGGUGCAAUCUCGUCUCACUGCAGCUUCAACCUCCCAAUCUCAGCUGAUCCUCCUUCUGCAGUCCCCCAAGCUGGGACUACAGGUGCACAUCACCAUGCCUGGGAUCAAAAUCCAAAUUGACUGUAUGAUCAUCACUGGCAUCUUCCAAAGUUGCUUUCAUCAGAAACUAUGUCCCAGCAUUCCAGCCCCACCACUGUCCCUACCAACCCUUUGAAGCUUCUACUUCUCAAUUUUUCCUCCAUCUGGUCUAUCACCCAUUCUUUUGCCAUUAUUUUCUGCCUUCAUACCUUGUAUUAUUGCAAAAUUAAUUUCACUGGCCUUUUUGCUAUUGUUGAUAUCAGAAUCCAUUUGAUGCAGUACUCACCAAGCAUUUUGAGCCCCCUAAACCUUCUGAAGACCCCUUACCAAUCUGUUUCUGUAUUGGCUUCUAUCAUUCCAAAUUUUUUGCUUCUGUUGGUACUGACAAUGAAUUAUAUACCCCCUUAUGCACUAUAUUCCCACUGCCUUGCAUGUAGAAAGUGUUUAAUAUGAGUUAAUUAAAUAAGUUAUUGAAUAAAGCAGACUUGCUAGUCUCAAUAUUUUAUAGUUCCCAUCCGUCAUUACAGGUGUUUUCUUCUCUCCCUAAUUACUCCUUCUACUACCAUGUUUGUUUUCUGCUGCUUUAAACUAUUUAUGUUAAGUC
rnacentral:lncRNA from 1 species